GUAUCUUAUAUUGGCAAGCUUUUAAAUUAUUUAAAGUUGCAGAACAAUUGUUUAUUAAUGUGAAGUCGAAGUUUGGGGUGAUUAGCCUUAUCUCGUUAAAUUUUGUUCAGCAUGAAACAGUCUGAACAGCCAUCCUCGAUUUUGUCAACAAUCUAAAACGUGCUAAGGAGUAGUCAUUCGUCGAUUUACCUGCGGCUUCCAGAUGAUCUGAAGAUCGGGAAUAUAGAAAAUAUUAUCAAUUUGAUAUUGCUAAUGACCCAGUCAUGUCUGCUGAAGCCCAGAAGUUUCCAGACCAUGACAUUAAUGAAUAUUUCUUGAAUGGAAUGCAUGAGGAUUAGAAUGGAACCUUAUUCUGCCCUUUUACCAACCAUCUUUUCAAGAUUUAUGGAGCCAACUACAGAAGAAUUUGAUCUAUACACAUCAUUCAUAACAUUCUUAUUUAUGUUGCAUAACUUUAAAUGUUACUGGAUGAAUUGUGUUCACAUAAUGAAUACCAGCAAACUCUUUAUCGAGUGCACUUAAUUUGUAUUUUUCCUACCCAUCCAUCUAACAUAUGUUUUUAUAUAACAUAUUCAUAUACAUGUAACAUUUUUGGAAACAGCUAUUUUUUUUAAAUUGGAAUUUAGCCUUACUAUUUUAUGCAAGUUUUUUUUAAAGGGACUUGGACACGAUUUUAGAUCAAAAUUUUGUUUUCAAUUUCCUUAUGCAUAAAAUGAUUUACUUGCACAUUUUGAAUAAUUGACCAUAAUUUGAAUGUUAGAAGUCAAGUUAUAAGAGAGAUACAGGGUUAAGAAUUUAUUGUUAUGUAAACAAAGCUCGAGUCUUAUGUUUGUUUACAAAUAAUAUAAAGUAUGAAAUUACCACUUCUUUGAGAAAAUGAUUCAUAGAAAAGAAGGUAAACUGAUUCGAUGUGAUCAUAAAUGAUAUUAUUAAUAGAAAAAAGCAACAUUUGAAUGAAACUUACACCAAUAAAACACAUGUAAAUAAUAACAAGACUCGUGCUUUGUUUACAAAACAAAGAAUAUUUAAUUCUUUAUCUUUCUUUUAACUCAGUAUUUGACUUUCAAAUUUUGACAAAGCAUUAAAAAUACCCAUAUCAACCAUUCUAAAUAUUGAAAAUGGAAAUAUAAAAUUUUGAAUUUUAAGCUCAAAUCGUGUCUAAGUCCCUUUUAUAUACUCUUUUGUAUACAAACAGAACAAAAAUACUUAGUUACAAUGGGAAAUGGACAUAAUAUAUAUAAAAGUGUCUGAUAAAAGUAUAGGUCUUGUUCAUGAACAGAAGAAAUUGACAGAAAAAUAUUCAGUUUUAGCCAUGAAAUACAAAUAUUAAUAUUUUUUAAGAAUAUUAUUUAA